rnacentral:rRNA from 1 species
UACGUAGGGGGGCAAGCGUUGUCCGGAUUUAUUGGCGUAAAGAGCUCGUAGGUGGUUCGGUAAGUCGGAUGUGAAAUCUCCAGGCUCAACCUGGAGGGGUCAUUCGAUACUGCCGUGACUAGAGGUCGGUAGGGGAGUGUGGAAUUCCUGGUGGAGCGGUGAAAUGCGCAGAUAUCAGGAGGAACACCGGUGGUGUAGACGGCUUACUGGACCACGACUGACACUGAGGCACGAAAGCGUGGGUAGCAAACAGG